UGUGCAGGUUUUAGAUCGUUGCUUGAUCGGGUGAUAUUUGCAUAGCUGUUUUUGUUGGUGUUGUUCUUCACUUGUUGGCGAGCUGUGGCAAGAGUCAAAUUUUGUUCUACGCUGAUUCUACCCAGAUAGCAAUUGUUCUACUAGACCAUCUUGAAUGUGUGCGUAAUGACAGUAAACUGACAGUUUCAAGUGGAAAAAAUCUUUGCGUUUGUGAGUUUUCAACCCUUCAGCUGAAAUCCGCCACACCUACAUCUACACUUUAUAUUAUUCAUGCGUAUGCUACACAAACAAAGUGAACCGUCCUUCUGUUCAACAUGGAUUGUUCAUCUUGUUCAGAAAAAAUCAAGUUGAAAAAAGAUGGCGAAUUGAAACAGCGUCACGCUGCCUGCAGGAGUAAAAUAAAAAAGAGGUACGUUAAAAGCGGCGCCGAAACAUUGAUUCCAGCGGCAAUAAAAAUCGAGCCAAAUAGAUCUUGAUCAGCAGGUCAAAAUGUUGAAAUUUUUGGAAUUUCGUCAUGCAAACAGGAAGAAAUAUUCGAACGAAUGCUCCGGCGCAGACAAUUUUGAAAAUUCCUUGGUUACCAGUCGUAAAAAGAAGAGAUUCUGAUAAUUAAUCAUAUUGUGCAUAUUGAAAUGAUUUUGUGAUAAGU